rfam:Myotis brandtii contig173399, whole genome shotgun sequence.
GGCGGUUCUCGGGAGACGCACCCCGGAAUUAAGCUCCCUUCUCUCUGGUUCUGGUGUGUCACCCGAGAACCACA